rnacentral:misc_RNA from 1 species
UGGAGUACUCCAUGGUCGCAGCAUGGACGAGCCCGACACGGCAAUCUCAACAAACAGCCAGCAGGCGAGGAAGAGAGAUGGCUCUGCAAAGUCAUCGCACGACAUUCAGCGGCAGACCAGUGACCUUGAUCGGCAGCGCAGCAUCCGAUCCAAGAUCCUCGAGGAGCAUCAGGAUGUGCCUUACGGAGAGGACGUGCGCAAUCAGACGUUCAUUAGCCGCUGGCUAACCGAGUCCAACAUAGCCAAGGCCUUCCAGGGAAAGCCAACACCAGUUUCUAGGACUCUGUUGGUGGGCAACUGCAUUCCACCAUCCACCGAAGAUGACAUUUGCGAUCAGAAGUUUCCUAACAACAGGAUUAUAUCAUCUAAGUACACAGCAUGGAAUUUUAUUCCAAAAAAUCUGUUUGAACAGUUCCGACGAAUUGCCAACUUCUACUUUCUAUGCAUCGGUAUUAUCCAGUUGUUUCUGGAGGAUACUCCAGUAAGUCCAGCUACCAGUAUACUGCCACUUAUCUUCGUCGUCUCGGUUACUGCUGUGAAGCAGGGCUACGAGGAUUACCUGCGGCACAGAGCAGACGAUGAUGUCAAUAACAGGCCGGCAUUUAUCGCGCGUGACGGCAAACUCGUAGAAGUUAGAUCUCAGGAUAUUACUGUGGGUGACUUGGUGUAUGUGACAAACAAUGAAGGUUUUCCAUGUGAUCUCGUCAUGUUGUCAUCGUCGGACGAGGAAGGACAAUGCUAUAUCACAACUGCCAACCUCGACGGAGAAACCAACCUAAAGAUCCACUGCUGCAUUCCAGAGAGCAAACAUCUAAAGAGUGUUGAGGGGAUCUCCAAUCUGUGUUCGUCUAUAGAAUGCGAGCAGCCAUCGGCUGACCUAUAUCGGUUCAUUGGCAGAGCAAACAUUUUCUCCACCGAUUCCAGUGGAAACUCUACCAAAGUGCAGCAGCCACUGGGACCAGAACACAUGUUACUUAGAGGUGCUAGGUUGAAGAAUACUGAAUUUAUUUUUGGAUGUGCUGUGUAUACAGGGCAACAGACCAAGAUGGCCUUAAAUUCAAAGUUUACUUCUGCCAAGUUUUCUACUGUAGAAAAGUCAAUGAACUUUUUCCUCAUCGUGUUCCUGGUGAUCCUCAUGUUUGAGACGACUCUUCUCGUCGUGUUGAAGAACAUAUACGAACGAAACAUAUCGUGGCCUUGGUAUCUCCCCCCACAAAAACCUAUCAAUUUCAGAAACGUUCUCCAGGAUCUACUUUCCUUUCUAGUGCUGCUAAACUAUGUCAUCCCCAUCUCACUGUAUGUCACAUUAGAAAUGCAAAAGUUCUUUGGGUCAAUGUUCUUUGCCUGGGACCUUGAGAUGUACGACUUCACGUCAGACAUUCCUGCCAAAGUUAACACGUCUGAUCUCAAUGAAGAGCUCGGACAGGUGGAAUACUUGUUCACGGAUAAAACCGGUACGCUGACGGAGAACGACAUGCAGUUUCGACAGUGUUCGAUCAACGGCACGCGCUACAGUGAGGUGGGCGGCAUGCUCUGUGAGCUGUCGGACAUGCAGAGGGACACCCAGCCACUAACACUGUCUCAGUACACGCCGGAUAUGAUGGCUUUCGUAGAGGUGCUUGUGCUCUGCCACACGAUCAACGUGCACAAGAACCCAGCUGCCCGCGAGGAUGAGCCGCCAGAGUACCAGUCUUCGUCACCGGAUGAGAAGGCCCUAGCUGAAGCAUGCAGACGGCUGGGAGUAACAUUUCUGGGCACAAGGGGUGAGAGAAUGAUAUUUCGCAUCAAGAACGAAGAUAUUUCCUAUCGGCUUCUGCAUGUCCUUGAGUUUGAUGCAACGCGAAAGUGCAUGAGUGUUAUCGUUCGGAACCCAAAAGGUGAGAUACUGUUGCUGUGCAAGGGAGCAGAGUCGACACUGUUGCCGAACGUGAUUAGCGGAGAUGCCGAUAGCACUCUACAGCACGUCGAUGACUUUGCCAUGGCUGGUCUACGCACACUGGUGAUCGCUAACAAGAGACUCAGUGAGGAGGAGUUGCAAGACUGUGAGAAACAGCUACAUAAAGCCAGGACUGCAAUGGUGAAACGGGAAGAGAAGGUGUCAAGGGCUUAUAGUGUCAUGGAGCAGGACCUGCAUGUUCUGGGUGCAACAGGUGUGGAAGACAGACUACAAGAUGGAGUGCAGGAAACCAUAGCAUCUCUGAGGGUCGCUGGCAUCAAGGUGUGGGUGUUGACGGGAGACAAGAUGGAGACAGCGGUGAACAUCAGUCAUUCGUGCGGCCACUUCAAGAGAGGCAUGCAUGAGCUUCAUCUCGUGCAGCAAAAGAACAAGCAGCAGUGUGAACGAACGAUCACGGAUCUCCUCAAAGAGAUUCGGCGGGAUGACUUGCUGCAGUGUGCGCUGGUCGUGGAUGGGAUGAGCCUUAAGUAUGCGUUGUCAACUCAUCGACAAGAGCUCUACACUCUCUGCUCACUCUGCACCGCCGUACUGUGCUGCCGCAUGUCUCCCAUCCAGAAGGCACUGGUGGUAAAGUUGGUGAAGAGUGGACCAGACCAUCCUGUGACUGCUGCAAUCGGUGAUGGUGCGAACGAUGUCAGCAUGAUACAGGAGGCUGAAGUAGGAAUCGGUAUCUAUGGUAAAGAAGGACGGCAGGCCGUCCGCUGCAGUGACUUUGCCUUUGCAAGAUUCCGCUUCCUACAGAGGGCGCUACUUGUACACGGCCACUAUUACUACUACAGAGUGGCAACACUGUCCAAAUAUUUUUUCUACAAGAAUGUGGCAUUCAUCACACCCCAGCUGUAUUUUGCAUUCUGGUCACGGUAUUCAGGACAGUCUUUCUAUGAAAGCAUGUACCUUGCUUCUUACAACAUCUUCCUAACAUCUCUCUGUCCGAUACUUAUAUACGGCAUGUUUGAGAAGCACUGUGAUGAAAAGACACUGAUGGAUGAUCCCACACUGUACAGGUUAAUAACAAGAAAUGCACGGUUAAGUAUGAAAGAGUUUGUAACGUGGAACUUAUUGGGUUACUGGCAGUCAUUGGUAUUCUUUUUUGGAACAUACUUUCUACUGCAACCGAAUGCUGUGGUUCAUUCCUCGAUGGAGACAAUGGAUGUGUUCUGCAUGGGCGUUCUCUGCUACAUGCAUCAUCAUUUUGUGAAUGUUACAGACAAUGGAUGUGUUCUGCAUGGGCGUUCUCUGCUACAUCGUCAUCAUCAUUGCCGUCAACCUCAAGCUGAGCCUGGAGACGCAUUACUGGACGUGGAUCACUCACUUCUCACUGUGGUCCACCUUCAUUGGCUUUGUCGGCUUUAUCCUCUUCUACAGCAGCUUCCCAAUGCCUCUGACUGGUCAGACGUACAUGUAUUGGGUGGUGAUGCGAGUGAUGGGGUCAGUCACGUCAUGGCUGAUCAUCCUACUACUGACCAUCGCAGCUCUUAUGCCUGACCUGCUCCUGAAGCUGUACAAAAACACGUGGGGAAUCGAUAAGAGCUAUAUAAAGAAAGUAAGCAAGAAGGCGCCGAGGAGCAGUGUUAUCGCACCGGACAUUCAGUCUCAGCAGUACCGUCAUGUGGAGAUGAUGCCCAUCGAAC